rnacentral:rRNA from 1 species
AGUGAACGCUGGCGGUAGGCCUAACACAUGCAAGUCGAACGGCAGCACAGUAAGAGCUUGCUCUUACGGGUGGCGAGUGGCGGACGGGUGAGGAAUACAUCGGAAUCUACUUUUUCGUGGGGGAUAACGUAGGGAAACUUACGCUAAUACCGCAUACGACCUACGGGUGAAAGCAGGGGAUCUUCGGACCCUGCGCGAUUGAAUGAGCCGAUGUCGGAUUAGCUAGUUGGCGGGGUAAAGGCCCACCAAGGCGACGAUCCGUAGCUGGUCUGAGAGGAUGAUCAGCCACACUGGAACUGAGACACGGUCCAGACGCCUACGGGAGGCAGCAGUGGGGAAUAUUGGACAAUGGGCGCAAGCCUGAUCCAGCCAUACCGCGUGGGUGAAGAAGGCCUUCGGGUUGUAAAGCCCUUUUGUUGGGAAAGAAAAGCAGCAGGUUAAUACCCCGCUGUUCUGACGGUACCCAAAGAAUAAGCACCGGCUAACUUCGU